AGGCAACGCCAUAGUUGCUGGCAGGAGCUUUUUAUGACACUGAGCUCAUGUGGCCUCCACCAUGAUUCAGGUGUUGCUCUGAACCCUCUGAGAAAGUUAGCUUGGA